GCAAGUGGCGGAGCUACCAUGCAGUCGAGCGGAACGAUGGAAGCUUGCUUCCAGGCGUCGAGCGGCGGACGGGUGAGUAAUGCAUGGGAAUCUGCCCGAUAGUGGGGGAUAACCUGGGGAAACUCAGGCUAAUACCGCAUACGUCCUACGGGAGAAAGCAGGGGAUCUUCGGACCUUGCGCUAUCGGAUGAGCCCAUGUCGGAUUAGCUUGUUGGUGGGGUAAUGGCCCACCAAGGCGACGAUCCGUAGCUGGUCUGAGAGGAUGAUCAGCCACAUCGGGACUGAGACACGGCCCGAACUCCUACGGGAGGCAGCAGUGGGGAAUAUUGGACAAUGGGCGAAAGCCUGAUCCAGCCAUGCCGCGUGUGUGAAGAAGGCUUUCGGGUUGUAAAGCACUUUCAGUGAGGAAGAACGCCUCUGGCCUAAUACGUCAGAGGGAAGACAUCACUCACAGAAGAAGCACCGGCUAACUCCGUGCCAGCAGCCGCGGUAAUACGGAGGGUGCGAGCGUUAAUCGGAAUUACUGGGCGUAAAGCGCGCGUAGGUGGCUUGAUAAGCCGGUUGUGAAAGCCCCGGGCUCAACCUGGGAAUGGCAUCCGGAACUGUCAGGCUAGAGUGCAGGAGAGGAAGGUAGAAUUCCCGGUGUAGCGGUGAAAUGCGUAGAGAUCGGGAGGAAUACCAGUGGCGAAGGCGGCCUUCUGGACUGACACUGACACUGAGGUGCGAAAGCGUGGGUAGCAAACAGGAUUAGAUACCCUGGUAGUCCACGCCGUAAACGAUGUCGACUAGCCGUUGGGCUCCUUGAGAGCUUUGUGGCGCAGUUAACGCGAUAAGUCGACCGCCUGGGGAGUACGGCCGCAAGGUUAAAACUCAAAUGAAUUGACGGGGGCCCGCACAAGCGGUGGAGCAUGUGGUUUAAUUCGAUGCAACGCGAAGAACCUUACCUACCCUUGACAUCGAGAGAACUUUCCAGAGAUGGAUUGGUGCCUUCGGGAACUCUCAGACAGGUGCUGCAUGGCUGUCGUCAGCUCGUGUUGUGAAAUGUUGGGUUAAGUCCCGUAACGAGCGCAACCCUUGUCCCUAUUUGCCAGCGAUUCGGUCGGG
rnacentral:rRNA from 1 species